GCACCCGCGGUAAUUCCAGCACCAAUAGCGUAUAUUAAUGCUGCUGCUGUUAAAAAGCUCGUAGUUGGAUCAAGAGUUGGACAGUGCACGGUGGCCCUGUUUGUGUGGUUGGCUCCGGUCAGCCAUACGGCAGCGGAACAACCCCGUGCGCCAAACUGUCCACUCUAACAGACCGAAAUGGUUCCCUGUGAGUAGGCUCCUUAAUUGGGGCUGAAAGCGCCUACGCAUCAACCAUAUGCAUACGGGACGUCGGUCAACGUUACUGUGAACAAACCAGCGUGUCCAAAGCAGGCUUUCGCCUGAAUGUUCGAUCAUGGAAUAACAAGGGAUCGAUUCUCUCUGUUCUUUUUGUUGGUUUUUAACCCGAGAAGGAGUAAUUCAGGCCACGGUGUCUGAGUUGGGUUUCCCUGGGCUUCGGCUCAGGCCCCAAUUAGGCCGUGUCCUUACGGGAUCAAUAGGGACUGACGGGGUCGUACCUACUUCCGCGUCAGAGGUGAAAUUCUUAGAUCGCGGGAAGAGGAACUUCUGCGAAAGCAUUCGACAAGAAUGUCUUCAUUAAUCAAGAACGAGAGUGUGGGGAUCGAAGAUGAUCAGAUACCGUCGUAGUCCACUACUGUAAACAAUGCCGUCUCAGGAUUGAGAAGUGAACAGAAUGACUUUCACAGCACUAACACCUGAAACGAGAAAUCAAAGAUUAUGGGUUCAGGGGGGAGUACAUUCGCAAGGCUGAAACUUAAAGGAAUUGACGGAAUGACACCACAAGGCGUGGAGUAUGCGGCUUAAUUUGACUCAACACGGGGAAUUUUACUAGGUCAGGACAAUGUAAGGAUUGACAGAUUGAGAGCUCUUUCUCGAUCCAUUGUGUGGUGGUGCAUGGCCGCUCCUGGUUGGUGGAGUGAUUUGUCCGGUUGAUUCCGUUAACGAACGAGAUCUCGACCCUUAAAUAGGUGCGCAUGUCGAUUGUAGCCUCAUCUCCGCCAGCUUGCUGGAUUGGAUUGGGGCGAGACUGUGCGAAUACUUCUUAAGGGGACUGUGUGCGUCUCUAGCACGCGGAAGAGCGAGCCAAUAGCAGGUCUGUGAUGCUCCUCAAUGUCCUAGGCUGCACGCGCACUACACUGAUGCAAUAAACGAGUCCGAGUGCCUUCUGGCAACCUACCUGGAAGCGGGUGGGAAAUCUUUUGAACUUGCAUCGUGAUGAG
rnacentral:rRNA from 1 species